GAUGAACGCUAGCGGCAGGCCUAAUACAUGCAAGUCGGACGGGAUUGAGGAGCUUGCUUCUCAUGAGAGUGGCGCACGGGUGCGUAACACGUAUGUAACCUACCUUAAUCAGGGGGAUAGCCUCUCGAAAGAGAGAUUAACACCGCAUAACAUGAUGAGAUAGCAUUAUUUUAUCAUCAAGUAUUUAUAGGAUUAAGAUGGGCAUGCGGGACAUUAGCUAGUUGGCGGGGUAACGGCCCACCAAGGCGACGAUGCCUAGGGGAUCUGAGAGGAUGGCCCCCCACACUGGUACUGAGACACGGACCAGACUCCUACGGGAGGCAGCAGUAAGGAAUAUUGGUCAAUGGGCGCAAGCCUGAACCAGCCAUGCCGCGUGCAGGAAGACGGCCCUACGGGUUGUAAACUGCUUUUGUACGGGAAUAAACCUUGAUACGUGUAUCAAGCUGAAUGUACUGUAAGAAUAAGGAUCGGCUAACUCCGUGCCAGCCGCCGCCGUAA
rnacentral:rRNA from 1 species